rnacentral:rRNA from 1 species
CCGUCGCUACUACCGAUCGAACGGUCCGGUGAGGUCCUCGGAUCUGGCCGACGAGUCCGCUUACGCGCGGUGGCGUCCCGCGCCGUCGUCCCGCGAUGGCCCGGAAAAGACGAACGAAUCCGAUCGCGUAGAGGAAAUAAAAGUCGUA